UAAAGAGCCUGCUUUCCCGCCACUCGUGCUCUGAUUGGCUGCUCGUCCACAGAGCCGCAGGCGCGAAGGGAAAGCGCCAAUCAAGGGGCGGCGGGAGCGCUGUGAGGGGUGGUGGUGCUGAGGAGAGUACGAGAUGGUGGUGGGAGUGACGUGAGGCGGUGCGUUUCCUUUUUCUGUGAGUUUUACAGGGAGCAGCAAUUCACAGAAAAUAAUGUUUGAGAAUGCACAUAAAUAACAAAAAUAAAGGAGCAUCUAUAACCACGUCUUCUAGAAGUUUUUAACCUCCG
rnacentral:lncRNA from 1 species